CCUUGAAAUACCACCCUUUAAUGUUUGAUGUUCUAACGUUGACCCGUGAUCCGGGUUGCGGACAGUGUCUGGUGGGUAGUUUGACUGGGGCGGUCUCCUCCUAAAGAGUAACGGAGGAGCACGAAGGUUGGCUAAUCCUGGUCGGACAUCAGGAGGUUAGUGCAAUGGCAUAAGCCAGCUUGACUGCGAGCGUGACGGCGCGAGCAGGUGCGAAAGCAGGUCAUAGUGAUCCGGUGGUUCUGAAUGGAAGGGCCAUCGCUCAACGGAUAAAAGGUACUCCGGGGAUAACAGGCUGAUACCGCCCAAGAGUUCAUAUCGACGGCGGUGUUUGGCACCUCGAUGUCGGCUCAUCACAUCCUGGGGCUGAAGUAGGUCCCAAGGGUAUGGCUGUUCGCCAUUUAAAGUGGUACGCGAGCUGGGUUUAGAACGUCGUGAGACAGUUCGGUCCCUAUCUGCCGUGGGCGCU
rnacentral:rRNA from 1 species